AAGCUACCCUCCCCUUCGCUCCCCGCCUCCUCCCCCACCUCCCCACGGCUACAGUUGGCCACAGUUGAGUCCCUUCUGCCCCUGUUGAGGCCGUGGUGGAUGGAGAUCAUAGUGCUUGGGACAGUGGGCUGUGCCUCAGCUGUUUUCCUCCUUUCAGCCAUGAUCAUCUGCUACAAGGCCAUAAAGAGGAAACCACUACGGAAAGAGGAGAACGGGACAAGUCGUGGGGAGUAUGCCAUGAGUGUACGCAACAAGAAGGCCAUGGGCCCAAACAACACUGUGGUGUAGACUGUCCACUGACAGAAAGAGGAAGUGACAUCACCAUCACCCCCACUAUCCACCCUAUCCUACCUAAAACUCCUAUUACCUAGAACGCAACAGGGGGUUGACCUGUUAAAAAUGCAUUAACACCUUUCCUUCUCUCCUAGCAUGUUGCCUGAAUGAAAGACAACAUCCAGAUAAAGGAGAGUAGCGAGAACCAGAGAGAGAGAAAAACUAAACAUGGAAGUGGAUUCAGAGAAUGAGUAAAAAAGUGAAUUGAGAAGUUCUACACCAGACUGAACAGCAGAUUGUCGACAUGAAGUGUCAUUGACAGGGGAAUGGUUGACUGCUAAUCUGUCAAUCUACACAGCUCCACACUUCUUACAGACAACUUCAAUGUAGGAACAGACACUGAAGCACUGCGAUGGGAUAGGAGGUUGCGGAGGACCAGAUCAAGAACAAAAUGUGCACGCAGUUUUUAUGGAAAAUGCAAAAAAGGAUUCUGCGGUCGGGCUGUCUCAUCUAUUCUCAUCUGACCAUUUUUCUUUUUAAUUUAUUAAAGCAGAAUUUGUGUUAUACUGGCACAGUUGCAGGUUCUUGCUGUGGUUUGAGAUGUAUAGUGCUCAUCUGACUAUGCAAUUAAAACAUACAUUUACAGGUCAUACCAAGUGGGAAGUAAAACAACAAGAUCAAGUCAGUUCCUAUGUUCCAUACCAACAACACAACUGAGAACAGCCUGAGGACAAACUUUAUCUACUUAUCUAAUUUGUUCAUUUAUUUAUUUACUGUAUUUAUUCAUUCAUUUGUCUGCGUAUGUAUGUCAUUAUUGUUUAAUUCAGUCAGUUUAAUGAUUUGAAAUGUUUUCUUUUUAUAUGAAUUAUUUAGUAAUCAUAUCAUUCAUUUUAAUGGUCUGACGCUUCAAGCCCACUUUUAAUUUGCUACAGACACUGAUGCAGAAAACACAUCUGCAAAGAGUUUUGGCUAUCAAUUGUUCAUCUCUUGCUGUUUGAUAUGCCUUUCUGUGUUCCCCUGUGACUUCCGCGAAUAUGAUGGGGAUUUCUGUGAUGCGAGAUUGUGAAUGUGUGUUUUCUGACCAUGCUUUUAGCAGCUUAUUCUACCCCUCAAUUCUUUAUCACAAGACUAACAUGGUAUUACAUUUUGUGUUGUCACAUCUCACUGGUUAGACAGUCAGGGGGAGGUAGUGGGGGACAGUGGGAAGCCCUUUGCCGUGUUCUGAUGUGAUUUUUACAGUCUUAAUUGUUCCACCUCCCAGCAAGGAGAGAACCCAUCACUAUAGAAACAGUGCACAUGAUCCCAGGACUGACAUGCUGAUUGGUGGAGGACGGGAUUCCAAACAUAGGCUAAUCUGGAUAUCAAAUUGCAGAGAGGAUGGCCACAAAAGGAACAUGUGACUCAGUGCACUCACACUCGCAGGCAUCCCCAACAUCCUUCUGCAAUAAACAGUGCACAGUUGAUUUAAAGCAUCACUCAAUUAUUACGCUGCGUGUUGGCAUAGCUGCAGUUAAUUUGUAUAUUAGUGCGUGUUGUGUGCGUGAGAGAGAGCACAAUACAUGUAUGGCUGGCAGUAUCUCUGAAAAUGUUCCAUUACUGUUGAAUUUUGUAAACACAGACCUUGCAUUGUGAAAUGCAUAGGAAUUAGCAUAUCUUACCUAUAAUGUACCCAGAAACUGAAGAUACGUCGCUAAUACUGUACAUUGAGGGAAAUAACCUUGGAUGCAUGAAUGUAAAUAUUGAUAUUUAAAAAUAUCUGCCUUCUGGACUGUUAAUUACAUGUACAGUGUAACAGAAAAUAUGUUUAUACAUAGUAGAAAUUAAACAAUGUGCUACCAAUUAGAAUUAAAUCAAUGUUAUCAUGUUUAUGGAGCAAGCCAUUCAUGUAUAUUUGGCAAUGAAAGUUAUUGCACAAUUGAUGCAUUAUAUACCAAAAGGAUACAUAGAGUCCCAUGUAUACAUCGAUAAUGUUCAUUCAGUUGAUUUAAUUGCUGACUUUUUCAGUUGUAAAUAAAAGUGAACAGAAUGACAGGC